UACGUAGGGUGCAAGCGUUGUCCGGAAUUAUUGGGCGUAAGGAGCUCGUAGGCGGUCUGUUGCGUCGGCUGUGAAAACCCGGGGCUCAACUCCGGGCCUGCAGCCGAUACGGGCAGGCUAGAGUUCGGUAGGGGAGACUGGAAUUCCUGGUGUAGCGGUGAAAUGCGCAGAUAUCAGGAGGAACACCGAUGGCGAAGGCAGGUCUCUGGGCCGAUACUGACGCUGAAGAGCGAAAGCGUGGGGAGCGAACAGG
rnacentral:rRNA from 1 species